UGUCCUAUUGCAGUUAUGUUAUGUCGAUUGAGACAGGACAUCAGUUUAGCAUUUUCCAGCACUGGAUAAGACGUGAUUUUAUUGGUUGACCUAGUUGUCCUUGUGGGAAAACACUGGAGAAUUCUGCACAACUGUAAGGUCUACAGAAGUGCCCAGUUUGUGAAUUCCGACCACAUACUUUUUGUGGCUUCCAUGAGGAUUGAGUCCAGGUCUUGUAGGGUACUCUGUCUGCUCAGUGCCCAAGAUUAAAUCUAGCUAGACUUCAUGAUCAGACUGUUUCUCAGGAAUAUGCAUGCAAUCUGGCUGGAGGACUUGCAGCUGGUGAUCCGAAUAGGUUUGUUGUGGAUGAA